CUCCUCCCGGGCGGGGCUGAGAGCGCGGGCUGGAGGCUCCCGGCACUCGCACCUCGCUGCGGAGGUUGCUAAUAUUGGGACCUGCCGCAGCGGUAGCGGCGGGAGACCGCAGCACUGCUGCCACCCCGGGGGCCGCUUCUCCCUGCCACCGGAUGAAAGACUUAAAUAACCCUCCCGCCUCAGCCUCUUCCCCACCCCCACUGCGCACAGCCACCCACUCGGCUCCAUCCGAACGCGGUCACUAAGGAGAACAACCGAGACUCCCUUCGCGGGCACUGAGCUCCCUGACACUGUGCUGGGCUCUGGGCGGCCCCCAGGCACCUGUGUGCAGGCAUCAGGGUGAGCACGGUCACCAGCUCUCGGGGCUGCAGCCCUCAGUGCUGAGUCACAAGAACCCUCCUUGGGAAAUGAAAUCCUCCGAAUGCCCUUUAAAAUUAGCUCGCAGCGUUUGCACGCGCGCGCACGCACGCCGGAGAGCCACCCAGGAGACCCACGCGGGGCUGCACACGUUAGUGAUAACUUGAUAGCUGCAAGGACAAACGCCCCCGAACAAUCCGUCAGCAACCUUCGCCUACGGGGUUUUCAGACCCUCACGGUGGGAAUAAACAAUACGCUUAAUUUACAAUUCAAGCAGUACACUUAUUAGAAGAAAAGAAGGAGCAAAAACUUCCUUGGGCCAUAAGAUGAUAACCACUGCCUCAGCAAAAUGCAUUUUCAAGUUCUCAGUAGUUAAUGAUUAAAGCUUUAAACUCGUGCAAUCAGCCCAUUCAAAAGAAACUUCCUAAACCCCAUCUUCCCGAGUAUCUGAUGCAAAAGAACUAGAGACUUUUGUUAUAUUUAUAAAUCAUGUCCUCCUUUUAAAAAAAAGUCGCGGGGGGGGGGGGGCUUUCAAUGUAGACUUGCAUCAGUGCCAGCGGCAGAUCUGCAAUUCCCGAGGCUUUUUGUUUUUUCCUUCUUUUUUU